rnacentral:ncRNA from 4 species
CCCGGGUUCAUCCCGGACGAGCCCCCA